rnacentral:rRNA from 1 species
AUUGAACGCUGGCGGCAGGCCUAACACAUGCAAGUCGAGCGAGCGGCGGACGGGUGAGUAAUGUAUGGGGACUGCCCGAUAGAGGGGGAUAACUACUGGAAACGGUAGCUAAUACCGCAUACUAUCGGAUAACCCAUAUGGGAUUAGCUAGUAGGUGAGGUAAUGGCUCACCUAGGCGACGAUCCCUAGCUGGUCUGAGAGGAUGAUCAGCCACAAUGGGAAUGGGAAACGGGCCCAAAUCCUACGGGGGGAGGAGGGGGGAAAAUUGCACAAUGGGGUGAAGGCUGGUGCAGCCAAGCCGGGGGUAUGAAGGAGGCCCUAGGGUUGUAAAGUACUUUCAGUCGGGAGGCGUUACCGACAGAAGAAGCACCGGCUAACUCCGUGCCAGCAGCCGCGGUAAUUC